rnacentral:misc_RNA from 1 species
CUGUCCCGACGCGCUGGCACCCGCCUGAGGCACCCGCAGGAACGCCAUCCAUCUGGGUUCAAGAGGGUCGCCGCCCCGUUAUCAUCCUCAUCACCGGCGCCACCAGUAAGUCCUCGCUCCCCUUCGGUGCUCUCUCUCGUCCCCCUCAUGCAAAUAUGGUCCGACUCGGUGAGACCGAGAUGGAUGGUCUCCUUCUUGGCACAUGCAAACUUCCUAGCAUCGACCGCCCCCGCAGCGACCCCCACGCCCGCGCGCCGUCCCUACGCCCGCCACGAAACCCUCGCCGCGACCGCUCCACGGAUCCCGCCGCGCGACGCCGCUACAGCACACCCGCCAGCCAUGCCACACCGCACGCGCGCAUCGGCCUCUUCCCUACGCGCGGGAACCGCCCGCAUAGCCCGCCGCGACCCGCACGCCUAG